rnacentral:rRNA from 1 species
AUCUGGUGGAUGUUGAAAGGUUUAAAGGGCAUAAAAAAGAGAAAAUAAAUUUUCAGGGAAAAUAAGGAAGUCUACCUUUGGUAUAAGGGGGUCAGGAGUAGUUUAGUCAAGAUUAGAGCCCCAAUCUUCAAGAUAUUUAUAAAUUAGUCUAAGAGAAAUUUUAAACUUAAUUUAUAAAGUAAUGAGAUGUUAUCGUUUGAAGUAUAUGUGGAUGUGGAAAGAGGUAAGCUUUUAAUUUAUUUCUCGUUUAAGGUGAAAAUUAGUAAAAUAAUUAUAGAAGGAUCUAGUUAUUUUAAAUUAAAGAGGUGUAGAUAUUUUUAUCGUUAGGGAAAAAAUACGGCUUUAAAUUAGGAAUAGUCGAAAAGGAUCUGGUCAUUAGUAAUUGAUUAAUAUAGAAUUGGUAAAAUUAAGUAAGGGCAGUCUUAUGAACUCGUAAUUUGGGCAAAUGUUUAUUAAAAACAUUUCUUAUUAGUCUAAUAAGUAUCCCCUGCCCACUGAGACAUUAAAUGGCCGCAGUAAAUUGACUGUGCUAAGGUAGCAUAAUAAGUAGGCUGUUAAUUGCAGUCUGGUAUGAAGGGGGGCAUGGCCCAAGGUUGUGUUUGAUUGCUAGGGAAGUUGUUUUAAAGUGAAAAUGCUUUAUUAUAAUAAAAGACGGAAAGACCCCGGAAGCUUUAUAAGAGUUUGCAUCUUAUUUUGUUGGGGCAAUAGUUGAAAAUAUAGAUUUCAAUGGUUUAAGUUACUCCGGGGAUAACAGGGUAAAGGUCUUAUAGGGACGAGUUACUACCUCGAUGUUGGAUCAUCCUUGAACAAGUCUGUUCGACUUUAUGGGUUACGUGAUCUGAGUUUAGAUCGGUGUGAGCCAGAUCGGUUCUUAUCUUAUUAGGAGCUCUUGUAGUACGAAAGGGGGCAGGGGCUAUAAUAAUUAUUUU